rnacentral:rRNA from 1 species
UACGUAGGCAGCAAGCGUUGUUCGGAAUUACUGGGCGUAAAGAGUGUGUAGGCGGUGCUCUAAGUUUGGAGUGAAAUCUCCCGGCUCAACUGGGAGGGUGCGCCGAAAACUGGAAUGCUUGAACAUGGGAGAGGAAAGCGGAAUUCCUGGUGUAGCGGUGAAAUGCGUAGAUAUCAGGAGGAACACCUGCGGUGUAGACGGCUUUCUGGACCAUUGUUGACGCUGAGACACGAAAGCGUGGGUAGCAAACAGG